CCUCUGGUAGUUACAGCUAUAUUUACAGUCGUUUGACAAGAUGUUACAUAGUUAUAUUGGCUGAAAAGAGACGUGUCUAUCAAGUUAAGUCUCUCACACAUCUGUUUUUGCUGUUGAUCCAAACAAAGGCAAACCCCCAAAAAAAAAAACACCCAGUUUGAAGCACUUCCAAUUUUGCAAUAAACUAGGAAAAAGAUUCCUUCUU